ensembl:lncRNA
GGGGGGGGGGGGGGAAGCCACGCUGCCACGCUUAUGGGGCUCAGCAGCCAUAGGACCCAUAGGACCCACACUUAUGGGGCUCAGCAGCCAUAGGACCCAUAGGACCCACACUUAUGGGGCUCAGCAGCCAUAGGACCCACGGGACCCAUGGGACCCAUGGGACCCACAGGACCCACACUUAUGGGGCUCAGAAGCCAUACAACCCAUAGGAUCCAUAGGACCUACAUGACCCACAUCUAUGGGGCUCAGCAUCCAGAGGACCCAUAGGAUCCAUAAGACCCACAGGACCAACACUUAUGGGGCUCAGGACCCAUAGGGCCCAUAGGACUCAUAGGACCCACACUUAUGGGGCUCAGCACACAUAGGGCCCAUAGGACCCACACUUAUGGGGCUCAGCAGCCAUAGGACCCAUGGGACCCAUAGGACCCACAGUACCCACACUUAUGGGGCUCAGGACCCAUAGGACCCACACUUAUGGGGCUCAGCAGCCAUAGGACCCACACUUAUGGGGCUCAGCGCCCAUAGGACCCAUAGAACCCACACUUAUGGGGCACAGCAGCCGUCGGACCCAUAGGACCCACAGGACCCACACUUAUGGGGCUCAGCAGCCAUAGGACCCAUAGGGCUCAUAGGACCCACGCUUAUGGGGCUCAGCAGCCAUAGGACCCAUAGGACCCACACUUAUGGGGCUCAGCAGCCAUAGGACCCAUGGGACCCAUAGGACCCACAGGACCCACACUUAUGGGGCUCAGCAGCCAUACGACCCAUAGGACCCAUAGGACCUACAUGACCCACAUCUAUGGGGCUCAGCAUCCAUAGGACCCAUAGGAUCCAUAAGACCCACAGGACCAACACUUAUGGGGCUCAGGACCCAUAGGGCCCAUAGGACUCAUAGGACCCACACUUAUGGGGCUCAGCAGCCAUAGGACCCAUAGGACCCACACUUAUGGGGCUCAGCACCCAUAGGAUCCAUAGGACCCACACUUAUGGGGCUCAGCAGCCAUAGGACCCAUAGGACCCACACUUAUGGGGCUCAGCAACCAUAGGACCCAUAGGACCCACACUUAUGGGGCUCAGCAGCCAUAGGACCCAUAGGAGCCACACUUAUGGGGCUCAGCAGCCAUAGCACCACACUUAUGGGCCAUAGGACCCAUAGGACCCACACUUGGGGGGCUCAGCAGCCACAGGACCCACAUCUAUGGGGCUCAGCACCCCCAGCGCCAUGGGGGGGGCACCACCCUAUAGGGAGAUUGACUGUACUGCCCCAUAGGGGGUCGCUGCCCCAUGGUGGGGAUGGGGGUCUCCACCCCACACCUCCCCUCCCGGCCCCACAGCGGCCGCCCCCACACGGACCCCCCCCAUCCCCACCCCACAGACUGCGACCCCAAAGGACCCCCAACCGCC